AAACUGCGAUAAGUAGUGUGAAUUGCAUUUAGUGAAUCAUCGAAUCUUUGAACGCACCUUGCACUCACUGGUAUUCCGGUGAGUACGCCUGUUUCAGUAUCAUUGAAAACACACAAUCAAAACAUUUUCUUUGGUUUGAUUGGCUUUGGGUCUAUCAAAAAGUUUGGCUUGUUUCUUACAAGCCAAGCGGCCUGAAAUAUAUUGUCUGGCUAAUUGCAUCGUUGAUGAUCGCUAUUAGACUUUGGCUUUUUUAAAUGAACUGGAGGUUGAUUAACCAGUUUUAGCUUUAGUCAAAUGGUCAUUGUAAAAAAUAUCUCGAUCUUGGCUAGGUGUUUAUAGCCGAAAAUUUUUUUUUGGCUAUAACCGAAACCAAUAUAAUCACAUUUAGUUAUCGAUCUGAAAUCAGGUGGGACUACCCGCUGAACUUAAGC
rnacentral:misc_RNA from 1 species